AACGCUGAAGCUUGGGUGCUUGCAUCUGGGUGGAUGAGUGGCGAACGGGUGAGUAAUACGUGAGUAACCUGCCCUUGACUCUGGGAUAAGCCUGGGAAACUGGGUCUAAUACUGGAUACUACACUCUCUCGCAUGGGGGUGUGUGGAAAGGGUUUUACUGGUUUUGGAUGGGCUCACGGCCUAUCAGCUUGUUGGUGGGGUAAUGGCCUACCAAGGCGACGACGGGUAGCCGGCCUGAGAGGGUGACCGGCCACACUGGGACUGAGACACGGCCCAGACUCCUACGGGAGGCAGCAGUGGGGAAUAUUGCACAAUGGGCGAAAGCCUGAUGCAGCGACGCCGCGUGAGGGAUGACGGCCUUCGGGUUGUAAACCUCUUUCAGCACGGAAGAAGCGAAAGUGACGGUACGUGCAGAAGAAGCGCCGGCUAACUACGUGCCAGCAGCCGCGGUAAUACGUAGGGCGCAAGCGUUGUCCGGAAUUAUUGGGCGUAAAGAGCUCGUAGGCGGUUUGUCGCGUCUGCUGUGAAAGCCCGGGGCUUAACCCCGUGGUGUGCAGUGGGUACGGGCAGACUAGAGUGCAGUAGGGGAGACUGGAAUUCCUGGUGUAGCGGUGAAAUGCGCAGAUAUCAGGAGGAACACCGAUGGCGAAGGCAGGUCUCUGGGCUGUUACUGACGCUGAGGAGCGAAAGCAUGGGGAGCGAACAGGAUUAGAUACCCUGGUAGUCCAUGCCGUAAACGUUGGGCACUAGGUGUGGGGGACAUUCCACGUUUUCCGCGCCGUAGCUAACGCAUUAAGUGCCCC
rnacentral:rRNA from 1 species